rnacentral:lncRNA from 1 species
GGCUGGCAAACACCCAUAAUGGGAUCAACAGGAUGGUUAAAGGAUGGGUUUGAAUGGGCCCGGACCCAUCCUGAUAAACUGGAGGUAUGGGACCAGGAUUUGAAGCCAGGGGUAGUAAACCACAGCUUUACCAGGCGACCAUCCGGCCGAUUUUAUUCCACUCAAAAAUGGGAUAUGGAAUCUUUUAAGUAUUUAAUUCUCGCUGAAGUGGGUAUGGCUAGCAAUCUUAUGAAGAGUAUAGAUAAUUAAAAUUGUAAUUCUUUUCAUAAGAUUUUCAAUUCAUGGAAUGACAAUAGUCACUUCAAUGUAAAUUCAUGCAGGUUGUUAUGAAGAAUAUUAUCAAUUCACUAAAAUGGCGAUACUCUUCGUAAGAUAUAUUGUCAAGUGAUGGAAUGGCAUCUUCUCUUCGAUGUAAAUAGGAAAAUGGAUGUUAAUAGGGUACAGUUACUGAUUUUCCUGGCGAUCAAGAACCAAUAAUAAUCGAAAAAUUCCUCGAUAUUCGAUCUGUUAGUGCUGUGUUUAUUUUUUUGUGAUAAAUGUAAUGGUUUCCAUUGAUUUUGUGUUAAGAACUUAUGCACAA